rnacentral:lncRNA from 1 species
AAAAAAACUAAACAAAAUGGUCUUAUGGUCUCGUUCUGUGGUCUCGUUGCCGAGAAGUUCUCUUGAUAAUUUCCUGUGCUACUUUGUUAGAAUUUGUAGCUUACAAGUUCACCGUGCGAGAGCGUCGACAUUCUACUGUAAAAACUUCCAGAGCCAUUGUGUGUUUUGGAUAGAGCCGAUAUGAUAAAAAGUUUGUGGAUAAUGUUCGUUGAUAAAUUGCAAUGUGUGAAUGCUGAUCGACUUUGUCAUACUAACUCAUACUCAUACUAAGAGAUGUAAGCAACAAUAACAAGUUUCCUGAAGAAUGUUCCAAUCGGACAGUUGGAAACAAUUAUGUCUGUAUAAGUUGUGGAAUAUCUUUGGGAAAGCAGUCACGAAGAUAAAAUCACAGGCCAUGGGCUUAUGGAAAGAAGUGAAGAGUGGUAUUAUAUAGAAAAACAAUCUCCGAGAUAGAUGCCUGAUGGAUGCCCAUGUAUGCAUUGUUUGCAGGAUGAGCUCACCUCAAAAGCAUUAAUAUCUAGUGAACAUAAAAGCUGUGUUAGGUGUGUUGUUGCAAUGUAUAUAGUUCUAUUUAUUAACCCCCGACGCAAAAUUGUGUAUAUGUGUCUAUCUGUAGCAUCGUAGCUGCCAAACGGAUGAUCCAAUUUUAAUAUGGUUUUUUUUUGUUUGUAAGUUAUAUUAGUCGAGAGUGUUCUUAGCUAUGUUUGGUAGAAAUCGGUUCAGGUCUUCAAGGUCAUCAGAAAUGUUUGUUAAGUGUGAUAGGAAUGUUACACGCUCAGUUUGCUUGCAAGCAUAGGUAUGUGGGAUAAGUUAUUUUUUGCUUUUUAUAGGGUUUUUUUCACCUUUUUUCAUAAUAAUUGAGUACUUUUGUUUUGUCGGGGGUUUUUUUUGUUCAUAGAUGUUGGUAAACUAUGAGUUUAUAUCACUUUAUAAUUAUUAUAAUUUAUAUUAUUAAAUCAUUAAAUAGAUAAAAACCUGUGUAUAUUUUAAUGUUAUUGUUAAGUUUAUUCUCUACCUACUUACUAAUAUGUUACCAUAUUAAGUCUGUUCAAAAAUCAUAAAUAGGUACUUGUUCUUCUUCUAUCAUGUAGGUUGUGAAGUGGAUGACCAACCUCAUCAACCAGGGUUAUUGCUGAGCCGCCAAUGUCGUUGGAUCAGCCAGCAAUGUCCUAACUGAAUCAGGGAUCACAAAGAAAUUUUUGUGUUUUGUCCCCACCGGGACUUGAACCUGGGACCUCCGGAAUGUUAGCCACUGGACCACAUAGGCCGAGAGUAUAUAUGGUUAAGUUGCUGUUUUAUUUCAAC